rnacentral:rRNA from 1 species
AAAGUCGUGAGGCGGAGCAAAACACAAAACACAGUCUCAGUUCAGAUUGUAGGCUGAAACUCGCCUAUAUGAAGUCGGAAUUGCUAGUAAUCGCGGAUCAGCAUGCCGCGGUGAAUACGUUCCCGGGCCUUGUACACACCGCCCGUCACACCAUGAGAGUCGAUAACACCCGAAGCCUGUAGUCUAACAGCAAUGAGGACGCAGUCGAAGGUGGGAUUGAUAAUUAGGGUGAAGUCGUAACAAGGUAAC